ensembl:snRNA LOC120094874 U7 small nuclear RNA
GAGUUAUUACAGCUCUUUUAGAAUCUUUCUAGUAGGUUUUCUGACUUUGGUUGGAAAACCCAA